CUCAAGGGAUGAGAGAAGAGGCACGCACAAAAACGCUCUCAACUUCAGGCUAUCAAAAACGCUCUGACUUUGAAGGCAAAAACACUUAUUUUCAUAUUCUAGAACACUUGUACGAUCAAAUCAUUACUUUCUCAUUAAUACAAUCAAGAACACCGUCCGCGGUAAUUGAGAAUUCUGUUGUUCUUUGAGAAUCUCACAAAGAUUCGUUCUUUGAAGAAACCCUUAAAACAAUUUCUAUUGUGCGAGUUUUUACUCUCACGGGUGGUGAAAUUUAUCUUUGCAGAUUCAAAGGUAACAAUUAUU
rnacentral:sRNA from 1 species